CUGCAGCCAAUUAAGCCAACCAGCUUCCUUUGCACAUAGGGACCUGGGGUGCAGUGACUGCAAACUGCAGCCUCCUCAGUAGUGUAUGUAGCCUGCUGCUUGUGUAGGUUGCCCUAAGGAACUUUGAAGACAAGU
rnacentral:snoRNA from 1 species